rnacentral:misc_RNA from 1 species
AAAAUAUAAUAAGUAGUGUAAAUUACAGAAUUUAGUAAAUUAUCGAAUCUUUAAACGUAUAUUACGCCCUUUGGUAUUUCUUAGGGUAUACCUGUUCGAGCGUUAUUUUAAAAUUCAAGCUUAGCUUAGUAAUAGGUGUCUGUCCUGCCUUGUGCGUAUAGACUCGCCUUAAAAGCAAUUGGCAGCUUUCUUUAUAGGCUCUAAACGCAGCAGAUUUAUAUUAUAUACUCUAAAGCGAGGCUUUCUAGUAAGCGAAACCUCCUAAAAAUUAACCUUGAAUUAGGUAGGGAUACCCGCUAAACUUAA